CUGCAGCUCCGGACACCUACCCUUUGUUGA
rnacentral:piRNA from 1 species